UAUAGUCGCACACAUUGUUGACUUACAUGUGUCAGGGCAACAAUGCUAGGCUUCACUUCCACUAUGAACUACACAUGAACUAGCUUAAAGGACACUAGCUGUAGCUGUAGCUGUGUCAACUCACCUCCAAGAAAACACUUGUUUUUGGCGUGUGCUCAGAAAUGACAACAUUUUAACUUCAAAACAAGAAGAAGUGACCAUUUAGAGGGUCAGGUCAUUUCAAAGUUUUUGGACUGGGCUGGAUAGACAUUGGACCCAAGGUCCUAAAACAUUUGACACUGUUCUGAAGCUUCAAACCAUCUGUGCAUAAAGAAAUAAAGACGAGACACAAAGAUCCGGAGGCGGAGGUUGGGCAUCUGGCUGAGGAACUGGGCCAAUUUGAUGGAGCAGUUGGCACAGGGAGACCAGGAGCAGAACCAGAAUAUGCUCUCCUAUUUCCACCUUCAUUACUCACCUCUACAUGGCAGCCAGUGCGAUUGCGGAGGUGUCCAAAGUCAAAGGUCAUGGAGUCGGGGCCCACUCGUCUCUUCACUACAAAGCAGAGACGCCCUCACAUCUGGCUGGACCCCCGGUAGUGCCAGGAAGCAUGCCAGGAAUGCAAGGAAUGGCCCAGUGAACGAUAAGAAGGAAAUUCCCUAAAGCAGACUGGACUAAAAGCCAGAAACAACAGGCACAUGGUCAAUCACCGGGGAGAAAUGAAAGGGAUGACGACAACAAGUGGGAUGGGAGGGGAUGGAACAGGAUGCCUGGACAGACGUAGGUCUAGGUUUGACACAAAGACAACAAACACUGACAAUAGCUCUCCGAGGAUGCUGAGAGUGAUGACGAGGAUGAAGAGAUGACACAUGAAAAACGGAGGAAUGGGAAGGGUCGGAGUGGGAUGACUGAAUAGAGAUACUGUCGGUGAGAGGGUCAGGCAGAAAAGAGCUAAUGUCCUGUGAUAAAGGUGGGAUGAGAAAAAGAACAAAGCGAUGACAAUGACUGAACAAAGAUAGCGACUGCAAAGACAUGGAACAGACUAUCACCCGCAUCCAAAGGGUGUUGAGCAAGAGCGAAGACAACUGUGGGACAGGAAGAGAGAUAGAGGCGUGCCACGGGAAAGGUUAACCCCUUUUAAUCAGUCUCUGGUUUGGUGACAGUGACUGCAUUCAGAACUGGUAUUCACAUCUGUCCUGAGUGAUCAGAUCAUGGGCAGCCAUGACUUGCUGCAAUUUCAGGGUUUUUUUACACACUAAUUAGCACUCAUAUAUUAGCAGCCACUGCCACAAUAUUAACGCAUCAUUCAUUCAUUGUCUACUGCUUUAUUCUCCACAUGAAGGCCACGGGGAGCCG